GUGAAUCAUCGAAUCUUUGAACGCAUAUUGCACUCUCUGGUAUUCCAGAGAGUAUGCCUGUUUGAGGGUCAUUUGAAAUAAUAUAAAUUCCAAGAUUUCGCGGAAUUUAUAAUGGGUUGUCCAUUUUUUAUGAUCGCCGAAAAGCCAAGACAAGCGCAUUUUCUUGGUUUGCUUGAUACUUUCAUUUACCUCUUGACUUAACCAGCAAUCAUCGGGCGUGUUAUGAAGUUUGCAAUAGAUAAAAAAUUCCAUAGAUUAAGCU
rnacentral:misc_RNA from 1 species